rnacentral:rRNA from 1 species
AUUGAACGCUGGCGGCAUGCCUAACACAUGCAAGUCGAACGGGUAGCGGACGGGUGAGUAAUGUAUGGGAAACUGCCUGAUGGAGGGGGAUAACUACGGGAACCGGUAGCUAAUACCGCAUACGUUCAGUUGGGCCCAGAUGGGAUUAGCUAGUUGGUGGGGUAAAGGCACACCAAGGCGACGAUCCCUAGCUGGUCUGAGAGGAUGACCAGCCACACUGGAACUGAGACACGGCCCAGACUCCUACGGGAGGCAGCAGUGGGGAAUAUGGCACAAUGGGCGCAAGCCUGAUGCAGCCAUGCCGCGUGUAUGAAGAAGGCCUUCGGGUUGUAAAGUACUUUCAGCGGGGAAGCGUUACCCGCAGAAGAAGCACCGGCUAACUCCGUGCCAGCAGCCGCGGUAAUAC